rnacentral:rRNA from 1 species
UACGUAGGUGGCAAGCGUUGUCCGGAUUUACUGGGCGUAAAGAGCGCGCAGGCGGUCGUUCAAGUCGCGUGUGAAAGCCCCCGGCUCAACUGGGGAGGGUCACGCGAUACUGAUCGACUCGAAGGCAGGAGAGGGAAGUGGAAUUCCCGGUGUAGUGGUGAAAUGCGUAGAUAUCGGGAGGAACACCAGUGCCGAAGGCGACUUCCUGGCCUGUUCUUGACGCUGAGGCGCGAAAGCUAGGGGAGCAAACGGG